CACCUCCCGGGGCCGCGCACGGCCAGCCGGCUCUGCGGAUUUACGCUCGGGACAGAUGCAAACUCUCAAGAAACAUCUUUCUGUCAAAACUGAAACAGAUUGUGGUGUUCAGCAGCACAUUUCCCUGCUAGGAAAACAUUCUUGGAAGAAGAAUGCCUGUGCUUCUUUGCUUAAACCUGCUCGUUUGAGAAAAGGUACAGGCUGGCUGCUCUCCUGGAGGAAUGAGACCACGAGCUGCUGAGAGGAGAGGGGUCAGUCUGUGCUUCCAGCUCAUGCCUGCAGUGUUUGUCAGGAUGAGGAACAGCAUGAUACAUCCUGCAGGGAGCUGCCUUUUCAUCAUGGAACUCAAGCAGGCUGACAGAGCCCUUCUGAGUGAGACCUUUACACAGGUACUCACCAGCCAUUAAUAAUGGACUAAAUUGAAUUGAGCAUUGGCUGGUGUACUGCUACUAGUUUCACCCUCCCAACACUUUCCAAAAGCUAGAGUUUAUAGAAACCCUCUUCAUCUGACUCAUGAUUGCUUCAGAUCAAUCCCAACAGCCUUUACAAUAUUUGAAUGCUCUGUAAUUUCAUUAAUCUGGCUUUUUUCACAGAUGUUUUUGCUGUGUUCUGAUGAUAUUAGAGAAAAUCAUACAACCUUGCACUGGGCUUUUUGGUGAUGACCAUCCAGCAAGUAAAAUAACAAAAACAAAACCAAAAAAUAGAAGUCAAGAGACUGUGAUUGCUGCUUUUAAAAGUUUUUCUAUACCCAGGAUGUCAGCCACAUAACUUCUCCCCCUUUUAAUGGCCUUAUGUAACCAAAGUCCUUUUCACAUGUUUGAGGUAGCACUCACAGCACUGUAAUGUAUUUGUGGGACUGCUUGUCCACACAACAAACAUUCCCUAAAAUGUGCUCAGGGGUCUGAAUCACAAAAGGGAAUGGUUUAUUUUAUGAUCCUUUUUGUGGCUGCUGCCUCCAGUUGUCCUUCGAACAUCUCUGCAGAGCUGCCUCAGUCACCAAUUUGCAGUGAAGGAAAUCCAGGCUUGGUACAACUUCACCUCAGUGCAAAGCACAGACUGUGAGCAGCUGCCUCGUGGAGAGAUGAGACAACACCACAGCAAGUGUGGGAAGAAGGGCAGCGUGGACCUCUGCCUGAGAAAUCACUGCUCAUCGUGGAUUGAGUCAUUUGUGUUUAUCAGCCACAGCCCCAAAGGUCUAAGUUGGCAUCCAACACAUUUUUACACAGGUCCAGAGGUCUUUGGGAGACUAUAAAUAGGAAUUGGAACUAUGGUAAAGCCCCUUUCCUUUGAGGUUUACUGUAAAUAAAUAUUCAGGUGAAAGCUUUUAAAAAAGGCACGGUGUUUUGGAUUUGUGACAAGAGAGAUAAUU